rnacentral:lncRNA from 1 species
CUAUACCUACAAAAUCUCGUGGGUGCAUCAAGAGGUAAUAAGGGAUGAGAGGCUACUCCUCAAGUGUACAAAACUCUUCUUAAUUCCAUCUAAAACUCAUGAUUUCUCUCUUUGUAUGGUCAACAAAAGUGCUAGUGAGCGACAUCUCACAACCUGCAUCUUCUCUUCUGUCCUCCAACGGUCCAGCUCGACUUCUCUGACCGUGCCUGGCAUUACCGAUUGAAGACCAAAUCAACACAGUAUCCCCCACCACAAGCGAGACACUAUCCGGCAAUGUAAAAGGAGAUGAUUUGCAUCUUCACCCGAACUUCUGCACAUGCUUAUUAUAGCUAAUUGUUGUGAUGUACAUGCUUAACUGAUUGCUUGAUUCAUGAGGAAAUGUUACAUAAUGUUAGUGGGGAAGAGGUUUACCAAUAGUUUUGCUAGGCAUUGAAGUUGAUGUAGUCGUGGUACUGUAUAUUCUUUUUUUGAUAAGGUAAAUUGUAUUAAUAAAAAGGGAGAGAACUCCCGUAUACACGAAGUAUACCAAAAAGUAGAGAAUUUACAUCAGAACAUGAUUCUCUACAAAAGACGCCCAAUUUUCUAUACAAAUAGGGGCUAAAUGAGUGCACCAAAAAGCGAUCAAAGAUAAAAGACUAUUCUUAAGAUGUGAAAAAGGAGACUCAAUCCCCUCAAAAGCUCUCAUAUUUCUCUCCCCCCAAACGGAUACACGAGAGCUAACGGGACGAGCUUCCACGCCUUUUGCUUUCUUCUUCUACGGAAACCGGCCCAGCUAUAUAACAUUUCCUUUACAGUGCUUGGCAUCACCCAUUGAACACCAAAAAGAUUCAGGAUUGCCCUCCACAAAGCCCAGGACACAGGGCAAUGCAACAAAAGAUGAUCAAUUUCUUCCCCUGAGCUUUUACACAUGUAGCACCAACUAACAAGUGUAAUUCCUCUCUUUCGAAGAUUUUCAGCAGUCAAGAUCACUCCCCUCGCCGCUAGCCAUGCAAAAAAGCACAUCUUCGUGGGCGCCCUAGGAAUCCAGAUCGAGGUGUAUGGAAAAGUGGCCUCCUCUCUCACCAACAUACUCUGGGAAAAGGACUUUACGGUGAACAAACCAUCGCCACGCAAACCCCAUCUCCAAGAAUCACAAAAUGGCUGGGGACUGUCUUGCCCAUAUAACAGUGUCAACAAAUCUUGGAGCUCCGCAAUUUCUCAAUCUUGCAUGUUCCUUCUAAAUAAGAGGUCUCAUACUACCCCCCCCCCCCAUGCUCCUUACGAAUCUGUUGGACCAUCAAUUCCUUCUGGUUUGAAACUCUGAAGACAUGGGGGGAAGGAGACCCUCAGAGUAUCCUCUCCACACCGCCUAUGAUUCCAAAAGCUGAUUCUCCUUCCAUCUCCCACCAUGUAAGUGAUGUUGCCACUGAAUGCUUCCUAAUUCUUCAUUAUGCUCCUCCACAUGCCACACCCGAAGGGUGUUGUGAUUGCCUUGGUCCUCCAACACCCUCCCGUGGAAUCGUUCUUUUCUACUAUGACCUCCCUCCCUAUGAUAUAGUUAUCAAUUUAUAAGAAAAAAAUCUAGAUAGUUUUUCUGAGAUCUUUUUUUCACUUGUACAUGCAACUCUUUGAUACUAAUGCUCGAUUAAUUACCCCUAUAAUUAAUUUUCAAAAAGCCCUUGUAGAGUACUAAUUUAGGGGACACUUCAAUGGUGAUUGGGAUCCCACAUUUACUCACAAUAUUCUCAAGUGUUUAUGUAAUUUAAACUUGAUUAUACUAUGUUCAUGUGAGAGGUGCGGUAAGGAAUUGUAAAGGUGACUGGGUAGUUUGCUACCCGGAUUAUUCCAAAGCGAUUUAUCCUUUGCAUACAAAAUUCCUGUCACUCAGCCGAGGUCUCAAGUGGUUAUAGAAAUGAAUCUCAUACCACUGGAAGUGAAAAUUGACUCAACUGAGGUAAUAAAAUAUUUGAAGUAUGGAUAUCCUACUACAAUGCCUUAAUUUAUGACUAUAGGUUAUUAUUGUCCAUAGUGGGAAGCCAAGGAUUAUGCAUAAUUUUCAAGAAGGAAAUGAAGUAGCCCACCUACUAACUAAGAAGGCAACCAAUCCUAUCUAGCAAUUCCUCCUCCUCCUGUUGAGACAAAGGUGUUGGCGGACAAAGAUAGGAUGUUAGCCGAACUUGGCAAUCGUAAUGCCUUGGGAGGCAUCACUUCAACAUGUAACAGUAUGGAACAACUUCAGUAUAUUUUAACCCCCGUCCUCAGACCCUUGGACCACGAACCUGAAUCCCAGUUUCGAUCUCUGAACCCUGAAUUCUAACCCCCGACACCUGAUCCUUAUGCCCGGCCGCCACCGCCCAACCCGAUCAACCUCGAUCUCGGAUCCAGACACUGGACACCUAACCUAGACCCUUAGACCCCGAACCGAAAUCCGACCUCCGACCCCUAACACGAAUCACAACCUUGGACUCCUGAAUCAUAACCCCGACCCCUAAUCCUUAUGCCUCACCGCCCCCUUCCGCAACUAAAUAAGUAAGAAAACCACUUAUUUUUUCACAAAAAAUUUCUAGAAAAACAUUUUUUGUGGAAAACAUUUUUAGUGAAACAUAUUUUCCUUUCCCAUCAAACACGCCCAUCUAUCUAACCCUAAUUAUACUUAUUUUUUGUGUCACGUAAAAAUUGUGAAUCAUAGCUAAACCCGUCACUGUCUUAGAAAUCUAAUCCAUACAAAACCACAAACCAAAAUCAUACAUAAAUAUGCAAAAAAAUAGAUAAAUUCCUACAAAUCUAAUCCAGACACUACAAAAUCAGAGCAUACAUGACUAUGCAAAAAUAGUUAAUAGGAAGGAAGAAUUGAGGAGCGGGAAGUGGAACAAACCUUAAGGCGCUUUCGAGCGAGUAAUCGAUCUACAUGAUGGAAUAGAAACAGAGUAAGGAUUCCUGAUGGGGAAUUUAGCGUGAAAAGAAAGGCCGUCGAAACCGACCUUCUUAAGAUCCACAUAGGUGAUGCUCUUCGAAAUUUCUCCGCCACAUAACUCUCAUAAUCAAGUAAUAUUGAUAUAGAAAAGCAGAAGGGAAUAACGAGAUAGACAUAAAGGAUAAUGACAGUAGGGGAGGUAAUAAGAUAAGAGACGGCUAAUAACAGUACGCAUAACCUAAUAUUGCUAACCACUAAUCCUUUUAAUCAGUUCC